ACUCCUACGGGAGGCAGCAGUAGGGAAUCUUCCACAAUGGACGAAAGUCUGAUGGAGCAACGCCGCGUGAGUGAAGAAGGGUUUCGGCUCGUAAAACUCUGUUGUUAAAGAAGAACAUAUCUGAGAGUAACUGUUCAGGUAUUGACGGUAUUUAACCAGAAAGCCACGGCUAACUACGUGCCAGCAGCCGCGGUAAUACGUAGGUGGCAAGCGUUGUCCGGAUUUAUUGGGGCGCAAAGCGAGCGCAGGCGGUUUUUAAGUCUGAUGUGAAAGCCUUCGGCUCAACCGAAGAAGUGCAUCGGAAACUGGGAAACUUGAGUGCAGAAGAGGACAGUGGAACUCCAUGUGUAGCGGUGAAAUGCGUAGAUAUAUGGAAGAACACCAGUGGCGAAGGCGGCUGUCUGGUCUGUAACUGACGCUGAGGCUCGAAAGUAUGGGUAGCAAACAGGAUUAGAUACCCUGGUAGGAUAGCG
rnacentral:rRNA from 1 species